UUUAACAUUAAGAAAAUUGUUCAGGGGCACACGGGUGGCUCAGUUGUUAAGUGUCUGCCUUCGGCUCAGGUCAUGGUCCCAGGGUCCUGGGAUCGAGCCCUGCAUUGGGCUCCCUGCUCCACAGGAAGCCUGCUUCUCCCUCUCCCACUCCCCCUUCUUGUGUUCCCUCUCUCACUGUGUCUCUCUCUGUCAAAUAAAUAAAUAAAAUCUUUAAAAAAAAAAAAAAGAAAACUGUUCAAACAUACAUUAAUCCAGUUAUCUAAGUCACAUAGCUACUAGAUGUAGAACCAUGAUUCUAGCUGAGAAAUCUGACCAGAGAGUCCAAACUCCUAACUUCUGUUUAUUCUACUUCUCACUAACUCCCUGGAGUAUGAGAGCCAAUUAUUUAUGCCUUAUAUUGGCUGUUCUCCAUUCCAGUAAUAUCACUAAAGGUUAAUUAAACUCCAUUUCUUCCCACUAGUUUUACACUUCACAUUUUUCUAUCUCUAUUCACCACUUUUUAAAGGACCAUUUACAUAUUAUUAUUUAAAACCAUGUCAAUUUGCCUCUUUCACCCCAUUUUAAAAUAAUUCCAAGUUAUUAGCAAAGAACAAUUUCAUAUAUUCCUCAAUGGUUCUAAUAUUUUUCAAUGUUAAAAUGUUUUUCAAAUUCAUGAUUUCUCCCUUCCACCUAAUAUCUAAGUCCUUUGGGUUCAUCCUUACUAAGUUUAUUACUAAUAUUUCUACCAUAGGCACUAGGUCAGCAGCUCCUUAUUUGCUCUGGCUGUUACCUCCUCAGAGGAAACCCUCCUUUUUUUCCAGGUUUGCCAAAGACCGCUUCUUGGCUUAUCCUGAUGCCUCUUGAGCAAAGUUUUCAGAAUGUUGCUAAUACCUAGGAAAUAUUUUACUUUCUCCCUUUUCAUCACUUGUUCCCUUUGGGCUUUCCCAGGCCCCCUCACCCCCAGCCUCUAGUUUAUUUUUACCUAUGGUUGGUUUUUCUCUGCAUUCCCACUUCAAGAUGGCCCAGAAUAAGGCCAGAGUCUCUCAGCUGGAAGCUCUAAAUCUCUUGACUGCAAUGUUUAUUAUAGCUGCUGCUAUUUCUUCCCCUCUUUUCCCAGUGUCUACUAAUUCUUAUUUAUUUCUCAGUUAAUGUAGGAAGUUUCUCAGCUCGCCAUUCUCCCAUCUGAGUUGGUUUUUCUUCUGUUUUACUGUCACUGGGAAGAAAUUUUCUAUAGCAACUCAAAAUUCCAUGUGGAACAGUGUAAGCCUAGUUACACAUUGUGUAGUAUUGUGGAAUGUGCUAACUCAUCUGAAUUUGAAUCCCAACUUCUAUUUACUAGCUACAUGACCUUAGGCAACUUGUGAGAUUUCUGAGUCUUGUUUUUUCCCCCUCUGUGAAAUACAGUAAUAAAAGAACACUAUCCUCAAAAAGUGAUGGUAAAUAUUAAGUGAUAGUGCAUGCGUACCACCUAGAAUAUUGACUGGCACAUAGUUGUGUGCAAUGAAUAUUAGCUUCUUUUCCUGCAUUUCUUUUUCUCAUCUUUGAUUUGCUCCUUGCUAGAAACAGAAAAUAGGUACUCACUAUAUGUUGAAUGUUGCUGAAAUGUCUUCUUUAUCUAAUAUUCCAGUUAAUCUUAUCUAACUAGGGCUUUCAAUAUGAACAGAUUAGAGUAAGGAACCAUUUCAGUUAAUGCACAGCAAUACAUUCUGAUUUAAAAAGUGGCUCACAGUGUCAACCUCAGAGUCAGAGCUGUUGUGUUUGAAUCUGGGCCCUGACACUAGUCAAAUGGCUCUGGGGAGCAUCAACCUCUCUGAGCCUCAGAUUCUGUACUCAUAAAAUGUAGAAAAUAAGAGUUCAUCAUCUGUGGUUUUGCUUUCUGCAGUUUCAGUUACUGAAAGUCAACCUCGGUCCCGGAAGCAGAUGAUCCUUUUUCUGACCAAUCGGCACAAGGUCAAUAGUAACCUAACGCUACGUCACAGUACUUACAUCACUCACCUCGCUCCAUCUCAUCACACAGACAUUUUGUCAUCUCACAUCAUCACGAGAAGGAGUGGACCCCAACAUGAGGCUUGAACUUACAAUCCUGAGAUCAAGACCUGAGCUGAGACCAAGAGUCAGAUGCUUAUCUGACUGAGCCACCCAGGUCCAGAAGCAGAUGACGCUCCUGAUAUAUUGUCAGAAGGUCAAUAGUAGCCUACUACUACAUCAUAGUGCCUAAGUCACUCAUCUUGCUUUAUCCCAUCACGUAGGCAUUUUAUCAUCUCAUGUCAUCACAAGAAAGGUCCUGACUUUAGGAAGUAAGUACCCUAGAGUUCCAAAAAGGAGAAAACACAUCAAUUCAUUCCAUGGAUAUUUAAAGCCAUGGAAAACAGCUGAUCAACAUCUCCCCAUAAUAAUCCCCUGAACACCUGAAGACAGCUGUGAGAGCUUGAAGAAUUGCUAAGGCUAAUCUGAGCAUAGAUAAUUGAGGUGAUGAUAUGUUCAAAUGCAUAUAAAUCUGUGCCUGGGCACAGGUAGUGAGUUAUAAAUAGUCACCUCCCACUUCUCUUCACCCCCUUAGGAGGCUGGAGCACGGAUCUUGCCUUCCCUGAAUGCAACUAGGGAGUGGGUCUCCUCUUUCUGAGGGGAAGCCUGGAGCAGGUUUCUGAGGAGGAAGGUAAGGCAAGCAAGGGCUGGGAGAUGCCAUGUGUAUGGCACUCUGCUGGCUCAAAUAAGGGGUUAAGCCCAGGAGCUGAUAAAAUUGAGCAGUUAAUUAGCACCUACUGUUUACUGCAGUGAGUUCUUGCUGAGCUCACCAGUGGCCCUAAUACCUAAUCCCACGGGCACUUUUCAAUCCUCAGCUUCUUGGCCAGCCAGUGGCAUAUGUCAUCCUCUCCUAUUUUGGAAUGAGGCAGAACAUUGUGGUGUUUUUGAGUCUCGGAGUCCGAAUUCCCGGAUUCAAGUCCUGCUCGGCUGCUUACCAGCUGCAUGAUGUUACACAAGUUACUUAACGGGUCAGGUUCUUCAUCUUCAUGCUCAUCCUUAUCUAUAAAAUGGGAUUGAUAAUAGUACUAUAUUAUUGGGUUGCUUGAAAUAUUUUUUUUUAAAUGUUUUUUUGGUAAACCUCUUAGCACAUGGGGGAGACAUAGUAAGAAUUCAAAAUAUUUUUUUAGAACCCUCCUCCAUUGACUUCCAGGACAUGGCUCUUCUGCCUCUUGGACCACUCCUGAUAUGCCUCUUUUGCCAAUCCUCUUUCACCCACCCCUGAAAAAUUGGCAGUGCCCCCAAGAUUCUCUCUUUGAUCCUCUACGCUUCUGAUUUUGUAUAACCUAUGUGAUUCAUGCCCCUAUUCCCAACCACUAUCGAUACAUGGAUACCUUGUAAACUUUUAUCUCUAGGCUAACCUUUUGUUGUUGAUAUCUCUAUCUGGAUAGUCCAAGGCUCCUUAAAUUCAAAAGAUCUAAAACCAGGCCUCCCAUCCCUGGCUAUGAUGGAGUAGAAACUGGUACCGGUCUAGCCACCCAGCGUUGUUUUAAAAAUAUUAAACGGGGGCGCCUGGGUGGCUCAGAUGGUUAAGCGUCUGCCUUCGGCUCAGGUCAUGAUCUCAGGGUCCUGGGAUCGAGUCCCACAUCGGGCUCCCUGCUCCUUGGGAGCCUGCUUCUCCCUCUGCCUCUCUCUCAUGAAUAAAUAAAUAAAAUCUUAAAAAAAAAAAAUAUUAAACGGGACAAAAUACAUGAGUCAGUUGUUCCAGGACCCAAGUCUGUGGCCCUUAAGUGAAGAGAAACUCAAGAGGUGAGGCCCAGAAUCACUCUGGCCCUUUAUCUGAGGGCAGUGAGUUAGAGGACUGGCUGAAUUGAGAGGCAGAGAUCAGAAUUUGGGGCAGCUGUGCGGCUGGAUUCUGUAAGGUAGGACACGGGAGAGGGGGAAACUUUGUAGAGGGAGGGCUCUUGGGUACUUGGCCAAGUCCUGGGUUGUACAUGGGUAAGGUGAGACUCUCCAAGGAUUACCAAAUGCCAGCUUCUGUGGGUUGAAGGCUGAGCAUGGAUAUUAGAGUCCGAGCCGUAAUAGGGGUCAUCAGAGUUUUGGCUCAGCCUAACUGGAAAGCCAUAUGAAUACUUCGUUAAUAAUACCUUAGGCAUCCAGUGAGGACACUAGAAAAAACCCACUUUAAAAAAUAAGGACCGUAUUCUAGAGCAAUAGUUCUUGGAUCGUUGUCCCUUGACCACCAGCAGCAGCACCUGCAAGUUUGUUAGAGACCCUGUUGGAAAUGCAAACUCUGGGGCCCCACCUCUGAUCUUCUGGAUCAGAAAUUCGGGAGAAGAAGCCCAGAAGUUUGUAUUUUGACAGGCUCUUUGGAUGAUUCCAAUACAUGCUAUAGUUCAAGAGUCACUGCCCUAGAGGAAGCCUAAAUAAUGCCUAAAACUAAACCUUGAUGAGACCCACAGGGGAAAUGGUUUGAAGGUUGAGUGCACUAAAUUACAGAGGAUUGGGAAGAUAUCUGGGACUUUUCCGAUGAUCGGCACUAACAAAGUGGGGGGAAAAAAAGAAGAAAAACCUGCACAAGUUCAAAGUGGCCAAUCAAUAAUUGAACUGCUUACUAGAACAAAAAUUAUAACUUUUCAAAGGAAGACAACAGAAUCCAGAGCCUAAGCUUUUAAAAUUUAUCACCUGUAUUCUCCAGUAUUACCAUAAAAAAUUAUACAUGUGGGGGGCGCCUGGGUGGCUCAGUCGUUGGGCGUCUGCCUUCGGCUCGGGUCGUGGUCCCGGGGUCCUGGGAUCGGGCCCCACGUGGGGCUCCCUGUUCCGCAGGGGGCCUGCUUCUCCCUCUCCCACUUCCCCUGCUUGUGUUCCCUCUUUCACUGACUCUCUCUCUGUCGAAUGAAAAAAAAAAAAUUAUACAUGUGGGACACCUGGGUGGCUCAGUCAGUUAAGCGUCUGCCUUCAGCUCAGGUCAUGAUCCCAGAGUGCUGGGAUCAAGCCCCACAACAGGCUCUGUGCUCAGGGGGGAGUCUGCUUCUCUCCUUCUCCCUCUGCCCCUCUCCUCACUCAUGUGUGCAUGCUCUCUCUCUCUCUCAAAUCAAUAGACCUUUAAAAAGUAAAAUAAAUAAAUAUUCCUGAUUCUCCUUUUGGGCACAUGGUAGGAUUGUACUUUGCUGCCUCCCUGGACUUGACUGUGGCUGUGUGACGCUUGGGCAGAAGCUUUCGGAGCCCAGACACAAUGAGCCACAUUCACUUCCCACUGCGGUGAUGGUCCUUUCUCAAAGCUGUGAGGUAUAUAUUGAAAUGGAACCUCCAUUAUCCUGGGUUUCUAUGUGACUAUGAGGAGCAUUGCCCCCUGGCCAACCUACAUGGGACAUGUGGCAUGAGCAAAGAAUUAUUUUGCUUAAUGAUUUGGGGGCUGUUUCUUGUCACAGCAUAACCUAACCCACCCUGACUAAUACAUUACCCUAUAGGAUCACUGUGAGGAUUAAAUUAGAUAACAUAAAGGGGCACCUGGGUGGGGGCUCAGUUGGUUAAGCGUCUGACUCUUGAUUUCAGCUCAGGUCAUGAUCUCAGGGUUGUGAGAUCGAGCCUGGUGUUGGGCUCUGUGCUGAGUGUGGAGCCUGCUUAAGAUUCUCUCUUUCCCAAUACAAAUCAAAACCUCAAUGAGAUACGACCUCACACCAGUCAGAAUGGCUAAAAUUAACAGAUGACAGAUGUUGGUGAGGAUGCAGAGAAAGGGGAACCCUCCUACGCUGUUGGUGGGAAUGCAAGCUGGUGCAGCCACUCUGGAAAAAAGUAUGGAGGUUCCUCAAAAAGUUGAAAAUAGAGCUACCCUACGACCCAGCAAUUGUACUACUGGGUAUUUACCCCAAAGAUACAAAAGUAGUGAUCCGAAGGGGUACAUGCACCCCAAUGUUUAUAGCAGCAAUGUCCACAAUAGCCAAACUAUGGAAAGAGCCAAGAUGUCCAUCAACAGAUGAAUGGAUAAAGAAGAUGUGGUAUCGGGGUGCCUGGGUGGCUCAGUCGUUAAGGGCCUGCCUUCGGCUCAGGUCAUGAUCCCAGGGUCCUGGGAUCGAGCCCUGCAUCAGGCUCCCUGCUCCUUGGGGAAGCCUGCUUCUCCCUCUCCCACUCCCCCUGCUUGUGUUCCCUCUCUCACUGUGUCUCUCUGUCAAAUAAAUAAAACCUUUAAAAAAAAAAAAAGAUGUGGUAUCUAUCUACAAUGGAAUAUUAUGCAGCCAUCAAAAAAAUGAAAUCUUGCCAUUUGCAAUGACGUGGAUGGAACUAGAGGGUAUUACGCUAAGCGAAAUAAGUCAAUCAGAGAAAGACAAUUAUCGUAUGAUCUCACUGUUACGAAGAAUUUGAGAAACAAGACAGAGGAGCAUAGGGGAAGGGAGGGAACAAUGAAACAAGAUGAAACCAGAGAGGGAGACAAACCAUAAGAGACUCUUAAUCUCAGG